UUUAAAUCAGUAAAUUGAAAUGUUCACGCAGUGGAGAUCUUAGCAGGGCUUUAGCAGCGGAUAUGUGAGAUAUGCAGAGUGAGCGGUCAGUCGCCAAGCAAAAAUGUAAAUGUGUUGUGCCAGCCUGGUCCGUGGGGUGGGGGGCUGUAAACAGCGCCUUAUAAAAGCCCCAGUCAUCACGCUCAGCAUGGGCUCUGUGCUGUGAAGAAUAACAGGUGCUGUGAGCUUAGUGUGCCAGUGGUGUUUGUGGGGGCUCAGUCUCCAUUGAGAUGCAGAUACAGGGCUACCAGGUCUUCAGAGCAGAGAGUGCGGUCUGUACGAGGUCUUCAGAACAGAGAGUGCGGUCUGUACGAGGUCUUCAGAGCAGAGAGUGUGGUCUGUACGAGGUCUUCAGAGCAGAGAUUGCGGUCUGUACGAGGUCUUCAGAGCAGAGAUUGCGGUCUGUACGAGGUCUUCAGAGCAGAGAUUGCGGUCUGUACGAGGUCUUCAGAGCAGAGAGUGCGGUCUGUACGAGGUCUUCAGGGCAGAGAGUGCGGUCUGUACGAGGUCUUCAGGGCAGAGAGUGCGGUCUGUACGAGGUCUUCAGGGCAGAGAGUGCGGUCUGUACGAGGUCUUCAGGGCAGAGAGUGCGGUCUGUACGAGGUCUUCAGGGCAGAGAGUGCGGUCUGUACGAGGUCUUCAGGGCAGAGAUUGCGGUCUGUACGAGGUCUUCAGGGCAGAGAUUGCGGUCUGUCCCUAUUUUACUGACCUCAAGCUCCUGGUCUGGUUGAUGUAAAUUUCUCACUAUGGAAUGGAUGCCCUAAAAAGUAGAAUAUUACCAGCUUAUCCUGCAUCUGCAAUGUACUGCAGAGCACAGAUGGAUGCCGAGCUGGACGGCUGAGGUCUUUGAGUGAUGAUAGGUGAAUUCUUGAUACCAGGAUGUUCUCUUCUCAGGAGCUUUGCUGAAAGCAAUCACGAUAUCCCGUUAAGAGAACAGACCUGGGUUCAUGGUACAUGUGGUACGAUGUGUUUAAUGCCGCUUGUCAUUUCAGGCAGGGCUGUCUUCAUUUCAGAAUGGAAAAGUUGUCAUCGAGAGGCUAAAAGUAGAAUCCAAUGUAAUGCCAAGGUGCACCCAGCGUAGACUCGUCACUGUAAUGUAAAAUCCAGUCAACAAGGAGCAUCCAUCAGACCAGGCGCCCGGGACAAUGGAAAGUACAGCCGAGGUCGUUUAAUAAUGCUUGGCACAGAAAAGGAGCUGCAGGAUGUUGGGUGAAGCCUUACGUAAACAGGGCUUGUCUUAGCAUGGCUGUGCUGGGGCCUCUCCGCAGGGCACUGGGAACAUCCUUAAUUGCGUGACAGAAGGAGGGGAAUGGUGAGUGAUGUGCAUGGUAAACGGGGCGGCUAUUCCUUUAUAUGUGAUUUUAUUGCUUUUUAUAGACACAAACCACUAGUGAUGACAGAGAGCACGUCCCCAGGGUCCCCGCAGUGUUCGGCGACGGCCUGGCCUUUUCCUCAGGACCCAACAGAAUGGCUCGCACACCUUUUUCUGGUUACACAGACACCCCCGCCACCUAAAUCACCCGCCUCUACAUCUUUCUGCCCUAAAUUCCCCUACAUUUGCUUUAUUUAGCAGAUGCAUCUUAUUGUGUAAAUGUUUGAGAAAGCAGGGUCAGCCAAGUCCCCGGAGCAAAAGGUGGUUAAGGACCUCGCUCAGGGGCCCAAUGGUGACAUCACUCUACCAAGUGUGGGAUUUGAACCAGUAACCUUCCGAUGACAGGAACAGUGUUCCUAACUCACCAAGCUAUACAGCGCCCCAACUGGUGAUGGAUGGUAACUGGAAUGCAGUUCUGCUGUUCCAUUCCAAAUAGCACCUUCAUUACAGUGUCUUAUAAAGGUCCCUUAUUAAAAUCACACUCCUGCCACUGGAAUGUGGGGCAUCAGUUUAUACAUUUAGGACAGGAGUUUAUUAAUAUUACGCUGCAUCACGGGCUAUAAAUUCAUGCAUGCAGCAUUUGCAGUGCUUCCACCGCUGAAGAUGCACUGGUAGCAGACCAACGCGUUCUUUUAUUGCUGUGGUUUUUGCAGAUAGCACCAGAUUGUUUGUGAAAAAGUGCCUUGACUGGUUAUUGUUCCAGACUGUCUUUGAAGUAUAAUAUACUGCGUUAACAAUUCCAUUUUGAUGCUACAAUACCAUUUAAAAAUAUGGCAGACCUCAUGUACCACCAGCUUGUAGCAGGAGCUGUAAACCAGUAGGGCUUCCAGCAAUCAGAAAGACAUGAAAAAACUGAAUUUGAGUGUUAUGUUGCUUUAUAUGGAGAAGCAUUUAAAGUAUGCAGUAUGCUUAGUCACCCAAAACAGAAUAAAUCGCCUAAUGCAACGCGGAAGGGUGCUGUGUUUGCACGGGUGCAUGGAGAUGCUGCUUUGCACAUAUCCCAUCUUGCUCUCCUUUGAGACAC